rnacentral:tRNA from 1 species
GGAGAGGUGGCUCAGUGGUUAAGAGCACUGACUGCUCUUCCAGAGGUCCUGAGUUCAAUUCCCAGCAACCCUA